CGGGACGGGUGAGUAAUGUCUGGGAAACUGCUGAUGGAGGGGGAUAACUACUGGAAACGGUAGCUAAUACCGCAUAACGUCGCAAGACCAAAGAGGGGGACCUUCGGGCCUCUUGCCAUCGGAUGUGCCCAGAUGGGAUUAGCUAGUAGGUGGGGUAACGGCUCACCUAGGCGACGAUCCCUAGCUGGUCUGAGAGGAUGCCAGCCACACUGGAACUGAGACACGGUCCAG
rnacentral:rRNA from 1 species